rnacentral:rRNA from 1 species
UACGUAGGGGGCAAGCGUUGUCCGGAUUUAUUGGGCGUAAAGAGCGUGUAGGCGGCUAGGUAGGUCCGUUGUGAAAACUCGAGGCUCAACCUCGAGCUGUCGAUGGAAACCAUCUAGCUAGAGUCCGGAAGAGGAGAGUGGAAUUCCUGGUGUAGCGGUGAAAAUGCGCAGAUAUCAGGAGGAACACCAAUUGCGAAGGCGGCUCACUGGCCCGGUAACUGACGCUGAGGUGCGAAAGCGUGGGGAGCAAACAGG